CAAUAACAAGCAAAGUUUAAACCAAUUUGCAAUGUAGCUUUUGCAUAAAUAAUUGACGGAAUAAAUGGCUUCGCUCCGGCGUAAUUAGCCGGAAUUCAUGGAAUAGAAUCCCUUCACCAAAAGAUGACAACGCGGGCGAGGCCAAAAGUCAAAUACCAGGGCCAAAUGCACGCACAGCACAGAAGAAACGCAGGUGAAGGCGAUGCGAUGGCAAAAGGCAAAGGCGUGUGCCAUCUAAAAUUUAUAAAAAUCAAAGUAAGCACUGCGAGCGCAAGGAGAAGAACUUUCUGAUGACCGACACUGAAUUUGCGAGCAAUUCUUGAAAUCUUAAAGCUUAACUGCAUACUAAUCUAUCCCAUAACUAACUAUUCUACCAAAUGUUUCCCUUUAAAUACCCAAUGAGAAUUUGAAUAGAUAUCUCCUAGUUAGUUAAACAAAA